rnacentral:rRNA from 1 species
GCUCAGGAUGAACGCUGGCGGCGUGCUUAACACAUGCAAGUCGAACGGGAUCCAUCAAGCUUGCUUGGUGGUGAGAGUGGCGAACGGGUGAGUAAUGCGUGACCGACCUGCCCCAUGCUCCGGAAUAGCUCCUGGAAACGGGUGGUAAUGCCGGAUGUUCCACAUGAUCGCAUGUGAUUGUGGGAAAGAUUCUAUCGGCGUGGGAUGGGGUCGCGUCCUAUCAGCUUGUUGGUGAGGUAACGGCUCACCAAGGCUUCGACGGGUAGCCGGCCUGAGAGGGCGACCGGCCACAUUGGGACUGAGAUACGGCCCAGACUCCUACGGGAGGCAGCAGUA